GACGAACGCUGGCGGCGUGCCUAAUACAUGCAAGUAGAACGCUGAAGGAGGAGCUUGCUUCUCUGGAUGAGUUGCGAACGGGUGAGUAACGCGUAGGUAACCUGCCUGGUAGCGGGGGAUAACUAUUGGAAACGAUAGCUAAUACCGCAUAAGAGUAGAUGUCGCAUGACAUUUGCUUAAAAGGUGCAAUUGCAUCACUACCAGAUGGACCUGCGUUGUAUUAGCUAGUUGGUGAGGUAACGGCUCACCAAGGCAACGAUACAUAGCCGACCUGAGAGGGGGAUCGGCCACACUGGGGCGGAGACACGGCCCAGACUCCUACGGGAGGCAGCAGUAGGGAAUCUUCGGCAAUGGACGGAAGUCUGACCGAGCAACGCCGCGUGAGUGAAGAAGGUUUUCGGAUCGUAAAGCUCUGUUGUAAGAGAAGAACGAGUGUGAGAGUGGAAAGUUCACACUGUGACGGUAUCUUACCAGAAAGGGACGGCUAACUACGUG
rnacentral:rRNA from 1 species